AUAAAGUGGAAAAAUGCUAAAAAAAUCCUUUCAUACCUCUUUGAAGGCCUUUGUCCUACUUAUAGUAUUAGUCCUCCAGCCUAUACUUGUGUUUUUAUUAACCAAGAACACAUGCAUUUUGUUGGCACUAAAAAAAAGGUUAUUCAAUCAGCUAGUAUUAGUAAAGGUACGCAACCUCUUCUGAACCAGAAUAAGAAAGAGCUCAUAACCACUGCUUGUGAACAACUCUCCUCAACUUAAGGCGCACCUACUCUUACUAGAAGUCUAGUCUCUCUUAGGUCCAGUUUCGAUCUCUAACUAACUAACUUACAACUUAGGCCGGAAGAGAGAUAUUCAAAAAACCCGAUUUCCUAUCUUAAGACUCUGACUCAAAAGAGAAAAGAAAACCGGGCUAAAAGAGAUCUCACUUUCGACGAUUGAACUUGACUUUUAUAUCCAGAUUGGAACUGGACUUAAACGUCUUUGGAUCCUGCUUAGGGCCGGCUUUCACUCCACUUUAACUUUCAUAUCAGGAACGUCGACUUGCACUUGCAAUAUAGAAUUUUACUUUCAGGAAUCCUUGCUCCUGGCUUAUAUUCACAUAGGCCA
rnacentral:lncRNA from 1 species